rnacentral:rRNA from 1 species
GAUGAACGCUGACAGAAUGCUUAACACAUGCAAGUCAACUUGAACUUCGGUUUGGGUGGCGGACGGGUGAGUAACGCGUAAAGAACUUGCCUCACAGAUAGGGACAACAUUUGGAAACGAAUGCUAAUACCUGAUAUUAUGAUUUUAGGGCAUCCUAGGAUUAUGAAAGCUAUAUGCGCUGUGAGAGAGCUUUGCGUCCCAUUAGCUAGUUGGAGAGGUAACGGCUCACCAAGGCGAUGAUGGGUAGCCGGCCUGAGAGGGUGAUCGGCCACAAGGGGACUGAGACACGGCCCUUACUCCUACGGGGGGCAGCAGUGGGGAAUAUUGGACAAUGGACCAAGAGUCUGAUCCAGCAAUUCUGUGUGCACGAUGAAGUUUUUCGGAAUGUAAAGUGCUUUCAGUUGGGAAGAAAAAAAUGACGGUACCAACAGAAGAAGUGACGGCUAAAUACGUG